rnacentral:rRNA from 1 species
ACGGGAGGCAGCAGUGGGGAAUAUUGGACAAUGGAGGCAACUCUGAUCCAGCAAUUCUGUGUGCACGAUGACGGUCUUCGGAUUGUAAAGUGCUUUCAGCAGGGAGGAAUAAAAUGACUGUACCUGCAGAAGAAGCGACGGCUAAAUACGUGCCAGCAGCCGCGGUAAUACGUAUGUCGCGAGCGUUAUCCGGAAUUAUUGGGCAUAAAGGGCAUCUAGGCGGUUUUGUAAGUCUGGGGUGAAAACUAUUGGCUCAACCAAUAGCUUGCCUUGGAAACUACUUUACUAGAGUAUUGGAGAGGUGGACGGAACUACACGAGUAGAGGUGAAAUUCGUAGAUAUGUGUAGGAAUGCCGAUGAUGAAGAUAGUUCACUGGACGAUUACUGACGCUGAAGUGCGAAAGUUAGGGGAGCAAACAGGAUUAGAUACCCUGGUA